GUUGAAAAUGGUUAUGUUUACGAUGGUAUUUUUUUUCUUUUUUUUUAUUUUAAAAUUAGGCAAGCUCAAAUCACCAUUCACCUAUAGACCAUAUCCAUAUGGUUAUAAAACCAGAUUACUUACCACUAGUCCACUACCGUCUACCAGAGGCAGACGUCCAUAUUCCACUUUCUAGAAUCAGUUUCCCAUUUUUCCCAAAUCUUCAUUUCCUUCCCAUCAUAACCGGCAGCCAGAGAGAUCAUAGAAGAGCAAACCUUCUUGAGUUCUUCCUCCAAUUCCUUCUUGUCAAACCAGUCUUGGGCGGUUCACUAAUUAUCAAUUGAGCUAGGCGCCGACGUGAACGAUGAACCCACUGGUACGAAUUGUGAUAUCAUUUCAAUUUCAAGUACAAUGUUUUUUCUGGCAUAUUUAUUGUUUAAUUAUUGAUUUUUUUUUUUAGUAAUUUGUUAUGCUCUGUUUGAUUCGUAUUGAUUUUUAGGGUUUUGAAUUGCUUCAGCUUCGAGGCUUGCUUACUGUUUCAGAAUUUUGUUGAAAUUGGUUUUAUUGUGAUGUUUUUAGUUGAGCGGUUUAGAGAUUUGUGGUUUUAUUGAAUCAUUGAACCUGCUUGUUUGAUGAAGCCCAUUUUUAAUAUUUUGAUAAUUAGAUAGAUGAUUUUUGUUGUUUUUAUAAUUUUGAUUAUAUAUAUUAUUUGAUUGCAAUGCAAAAUUACUGCAGUUAGUAAAAAAGUUAAUAAAUGGUGGAAAGUAAUGGGGAGAAACAGGUUCGAAAAUGAAAGUUUUCAUCUUUACACCGAACCUAUGGAGCUAAUUGAAUUGUUGAUUUGUCUAGAUAUGCUCAAUCCAAACAUGAAUGUUGAAUUGUUGAUUUUUUAAUCAAUUCUAAUUGAAAAUUAAAUUGGGGAAUUUUGCAGAUUAUGGAAUGAUUUUUUCAACCGAAACGAAAGUCUAUACCUAGUUCUCCUAGUUCUAGUUGUGCUUCUAGUCCCGCUACUGCUUCUAGCCAAGUACACGAGUUGUUAAAUAACACAAAGAAGUCUCGGGCUCAAGUCAAUGUGGAUGAACUUGUGUCUGAUCCAGGAAUACGCUCCCUAUCGAGUCAUAUGAUCUUAAUAUCAGAGAUGAUGUAAGGAUGACAUACUUAGAAAAAGGUCCUUGUCAACUACAUGGACGUGACUUUCCGAAGAAGAUGGAUAGGAAAUGAAUAUAGGUGUUUUCGAAAAGCAUGAUUUUCUGAAUUUUAUUGGUUCGAGUACAAUAUAAAAAAUGAUGCGGUUUAUUGUUUACGUUGCUACUUGUUCAAACCUGAUAGAGAGGGUCAAGGGGUUGGACAUAUAUUCACUAAGAUUGGCUUUAGGGAUCAAAAGCACAAAAAUGUAUUGAAAGAUCAUGUCAGGCUGCUCAUAAUCAAGCUUUUACAAAGUGUAUCAACUUGAUUAAUCAAAAGCAAAGUAUCUCCUAUGUUAUUUCUAGCCAAAGUAGUAGUCAACAAAAAAGUUAUAGGACAAGGUUGACUGCGGUGCUAGAUUGUAGUAGAUUUCUCUUGAUGCAAGGAUUAUCAUCUCGUGGUCAUGAUGAAUUGAAAGAGUCUCUUAAUAAAGGAAAUAUAAUUGAGCUACUAAAUUGGUAUGUAGCUCGUUGUGAGGAAAUUAAUGAAGUAGUAUUUAGUAAUGCUCCUGCAAAUGAACAAAUGACUUUACCAAGUAUCCAUAAGGAUUUGGUUAAUUGUUGUGCUGUAGAGAUGACAAAGUCUAUUAUCAAUGAGAUGGAUGAUUCUUUGUUUUUCAUUUUGGUUGAUGAGGCUCGUGAUAAUUCUAUAAAAGAACAAAUGGAAGUUGUUUUGAGGUUUGUUGACAAAAGUAGGCAAGUGAAGGAGCGUUUGUUGGGCAUUUCCCAUAUCACUGAUACUUGUGCCUAAUCACUCAAGGAUGCCAUUGAUGCAAUGCUUUCUACACAUAGGUUGAGCAUAUCUAGCCUGAGAGGCUAAGGUUACGAUGGAGCAAGCAAUAUGUCAGAUGAGUUCAAUGGCUUGAAAGCUUUAUUUUUAAUAGAGAACCCAUAUGCCAUGUAUGUUCAUUGCCUUACUCAUCAGCUUCAGUUAACAGCUGUUUUUGUGGCACAUAGGAAUGUUAUGCUUGGUGAUUUAUUUAACAUGCUUGCCGUUAUUUUGAAUUUGGUUGGUGCUUCAUAUAAACGUGUAGAUGCUCUUCGAACAAGUUAUCAUUCAGAGAUUUUGGAAAGGCUUAAUAUUGGGGAACUUUUUGGUGGAACUGUUCAAUUUCAAGAAAUGAGUUUGGCACGCCCAGAUAAUACUAGAUGGGGCUCACAUCUAACGACAAUUACUCGCUUUAUUAGUAUAUUUAAUGCGAUCAUAGAUAUUCUUGAGAAUAUAUCAUAAAAUAGCAUAAGUUAGAUAAACAAUCAAUUGCCGUAUGACAGAUGGACACUAUGCAAGAUUUUCAGUUUGUGUUCAGUCUCUAUUUUAUUUUUGAAAUUCUUGCAAUUACAGACGACCUUUCACAAGCCUUACAAAAAAAGAAUCAGGAUAUUCAGAAUGCUAUGAAGUUAUUGAAGUUGUGUAAGUACGCAUUGCACAACAUGAGAGACAAUGGUUGAUAUACUUUGUUGAGGAAGGUGAUUGAGUUUUGUGUUAAUAGACAUAUUUCAGUGCCCAAUAUAGAGGAUAUUGUAAUAUUGAAAGGUUGAACUAGGCAUUCAACUCAGUAGAUGACUUAUUAUCAUCGCUUUUAUGUUGAUUUAUAUUGUUAUGUGAUAGAUUCAAUCUUACAAGAGUUGAAUGAUCGUUUUUCAGAAACAACUACAGAGCUUUUUACUUGCAUUUCAUGUUUAAGUCCAAGAGAUUCAUUUGCAACUUUUAAUGUAUGUAAGUUGGUACAUCUUGCUCAAUUCUAUCCUUUGGAUUUCAAUAGUAAAAAGCUUUUAUUACAAAGACCUCAAAUCUUAACAAGUUUCUUAUGCUCGUGAGAAUGGACGAAGCUUCUUCAACCUCAAAAGCAUAUCUUGUAUAACUCAGAAGUUGGUUGAAACUGGAAGUUUUUGUUAUUUUCCAUUGGUUUAGCUGAUCACAUUGGCUUUGAUAUUACCUGUGAUAACUGCAAAUGUUGAAAGGGUACUAUCUGCUAUGAAUCUAAUCAAGAAUGACUCGGCGCAACAAAAUGGAAGGUGAAUUGUUGAAUGACAAAUUGGUGGUUUACAUGGAGAAAGAUCUUUUUAUAAAACUUGAGAAUAAGGUAAUAUUGCAACGUUUUCAAAAUAUGAGAUCUCGUAGAAUUUAGUUGUCCAAGUUUACAAUUAUAGAGUAAGGUUGUAUUGUAUAUUUUUUAGCAUUUUGG
rnacentral:lncRNA from 1 species